UACUGGGUCAUUGUUUAAAGUUUCAAGUGAUUGAUAUUAAUCUGCUAAUCUAAUUAUAUUUUGAGAGUUUGCAAUACUCUUCUUUCUAGUAGGUGCUGUUUUCUUGAACUAGAAAAUUGUAUGUUUUUUUAUUAUUCAUCAUUCUACUAAAUGAUAUACUGUGCAUUUCAAGGAAAGCUAACAAUUAAUUUUUUUUUCUUGAAAUAAUAAUAUAAGCAGCUGACAGUGAGAGACGAUUGUGUACUUGAUGAGGAAAUGUUGUUGAUCUUAAGGUCCUCUUGAUUGGAGAAGAGGUUGGGGAAUACCAAGAAGCAUACAAGAUAUUCAAAGGUCUUUUGGACAAGUAUGGCCCUGACAGAGUUCUUGAUACUCCAAUCACAGAGGUACAUUUUGUUACUUGCCAUGUUGACCUUUCUCCGAUUUUUUUUUUGUUGGUUUGUGUGGGAAGAUGGGUCUGAUUACUUAGAUAUAAUUCAUGGUAUUAUUAUGGCUUAUUUUUCCUUGUAUUGAGUCUUAUAUUAAUAACAACAUGUUAUUCAAUUCUUAAAACUGGCCAUUUUAUUUUUGGAAGUAAGAAAGGAGAUUAUUCUAGUUAUUCUUGCAUUUAUGUUCUCUCUCUUUCUCCUUUUCUUUUUUAUUUUGAAACAUCUCAGUUUGAGAAAAAAAUGUGUUAAUGAUCUCUUUUUUUUUUUUUAUGGAUCUGUUUAGAAUGGCUUAAGUUAGAUUAUAUUUAGCAAUGACAUUAUUCUGUAUAUCUUCUGCCAUCUUGAAUUAUCUCAAUUUCUUUGUACGCUUGGUUGAUAUUUGAGAUUGUCAAGGCUCAAGCUCAAUUAGAUUUAGGUAUCUCAAUUGUCUUAUAAUAUUGAUCUUUUGUCUUGCAUUAUAAUUUUAAGGUGAAUGUGGAAAAAGUGGAGAGAAGUGACAUUCUCAACAUUUCUAAAAUCUGAUGUUUUUUUCUAUGGAUUUUCCCAACACGCAUUUUUCUUUUUGA